AGAACACUACUUGUACUCGAUUGUAUUCAUUUUUUAGUUUCAGUUAUGAAGAAAGGAUUGCACCCUCAGAUCCAAUGGAUAUCUUAUGUGACCCCAAGUGGUCGUUUAAUUAACUUCAUGAUGACAAAAAUACACAGUGUUGGUAAAGUUUAUCACUUGAGGGCUAAACGUCAAUUAGCUGCAACCGAAGGACAGAUUGCUAAGUUCAACCGUCGCUACGGGCUGGAGAAGCCGGAUGACACUGAGCACUCAGAGAAAAAUUAAAAAUAAAUUAUGGUUGUUUCUAAUACAAUGUUGAGUAUUUGCAGUUCGAUUUAAGCACCUAUGUUGUUGAAUAAUAUGAGCGUCAAUAGUUAAUCGAAUGUCAUUCGAUCU